UGAGCAAUCUGCCCUUCUCAUCGGAAUAAGCGUUGGAAACGACGUCUAAUGCCGAAUACGACCUCCUUUCGCAUGAUCGGAGGUGGAAAGCUCCGGCGGAGAAGGAUGAGCUCGCGGCCUAUCAGCUAGUUGGUGUGGGUAAUGGCCCACCAAGGCGAGGACGGGUAGCCGGCCUGAGAGGGUGACCGGCCACACUGGGACUGAGACACGGCCCAGACUCCUACGGGAGCAG
rnacentral:rRNA from 1 species